GACUAAUAAAUCAAGAUCAUUAAUUUAAUAUGGAAUAAGAAGGGAACUAAAGGCUAUGAUGAAAGGCUUAAUAUGUGUACCGAUCUAAGAUGCCAACUGUUUCACCAAAAAAUGAAAACACAAUAUUGUUUUACCAAUUUGUAAUUGGGAGAUUGGAUCAAAUAAAUUGAUUACCAAUUCAUGACCUCAACAAGUAAUUCUAGUUGUUCAUAAGUGUUAGCCUCUUUCUUGCAAUUACUAUCCACGUGAUUUAGAUGUUUCUGUGGAACAACAGCUAUCUGGAUAAAAAAACUUUGGGACAAACGAGAGUGAAACAUUUUUAACUUAAAUUAUUUGCAUCACUC
rnacentral:misc_RNA from 1 species